AUGAACGCUGGCGGCGUGCCUAAUACAUGCAAGUCGAGCGAACAGACGAGGAGCUUGCUCCUCUGACGUUAGCGGCGGACGGGUGAGUAACACGUGGAUAACCUACCUAUAAGACUGGGAUAACUUCGGGAAACCGGAGCUAAUACCGGAUAAUAUAUUGAACCGCAUGGUUCAAUAGUGAAAGACGGUUUUGCUGUCACUUAUAGAUGGAUCCGCGCCGCAUUAGCUAGUUGGUAAGGUAACGGCUUACCAAGGCAACGAUGCGUAGCCGACCUGAGAGGGUGAUCGGCCACACUGGAACUGGGCCACGGUCCAGACUCCUACGGGAGGCAGCAGUAGGGAAUCUUCCGCAAUGGGCGAAAGCCUGACGGAGCAACGCCGCGUGAGUGAUGAAGGUCUUCGGAUCGUAAAACUCUGUUAUUAGGGAAGAACAAAUGUGUAAGUAACUAUGCACGUCUUGACGGUACCUAAUCAGAAAGCCACGGCUAACUACGUG
rnacentral:rRNA from 1 species